UGCCCAGCAACUCAUAUCCCUACCUCCUCGCGGUACUGACCAGGCUACGAGUAACCUUUGGAAAGAGCGUGUAACCAACCUCGAUGGGAACUCUGGUCGUAUGCUGAAAGGGAAGG
rnacentral:ribozyme from 1 species